rnacentral:sRNA from 1 species
UAUCUGAAACCUGACGAGGAUGAGAACCUCCGGGGGCAAGAGGUUCGACCCGAGCGAAGCGAGAGAACGUUGCGUCAGCAACGGCCCGCAGUGGCAAGUCAUCCUCUGUCACCGGCA